rnacentral:misc_RNA from 1 species
AGCUCAUUUGAAUCCUUACUUCCUUGACAGAACAAACCACUUCCCAUACUAGUAUAUAGCCCAAAUACAUCUCAAUAAAAGGUUUUGCUCCAACUCUGAUGCAUUCUUAUCAAUGUAACAGCACAAACCACAUCAAUUCUUCCCUUUUAAAAGUUAUCUUUCAUUAAGAUUCUUUUCCAAGAAUGCCUAAAAAAGAAAAAAAGAAUCACCUAGGUACGAGCACAAGUUAUUGUCUUAAUUUAUUUUUACAGCUUUGUUUCACUGGUAGAUGUUUCAGAAAGUGUUCACUUUUUCUGGGUACAAAUGUUCAUUUCUAGUUUCGCUUAGGAUACUAAGCAUCUUAUUACACUUUUGAACCUAUGUUGCAAUACUCCUGGUCAUUUUGUUCUAAUGCCAGCAACAUUGAGCUCAAGACAGAA